GGGAUGAACUCGCCUGUGAGACAAACUCGGAGUAAGAGAGACAGCACAUGGAUCUCCCAGGAUGACUUCUGGACUUGGACGAGGGACACUGGUGGAAGAGCCUGCCUUGAUGGAAUUCUUAGUGGCACAGAGGAGAGUGUUUGACUACAAAAACAGGGUAGACUGAGGUACACAGACAGAG
rnacentral:lncRNA from 1 species